rnacentral:rRNA from 1 species
GACGAACGCUGGCGGCGUGCCUAACACAUGCAAGUCGAGCGAGUGAAUCUCCUUCGGGAGUGAAGCUAGCGGCGGACGGGUGAGUAACACGUGGGCAACCUGCCUCAUAGAGGGGAAUAGCCUUUCGAAAGGAAGAUUAAUACCGCAUAAGAUUGUGGCUUCGCAUGAAGUAGCAAUUAAAGGAGCAAUCCGCUAUGAGAUGGGCCCGCGGCGCAUUAGCUAGUUGGUGAGGUAACGGCUCACCAAGGCGACGAUGCGUAGCCGACCUGAGAGGGUGGUCGGCCACAUUGGGACUGAGACACGGCCCAGACUCCUACGGGAGGCAGCAGGGGGGAAUAUUGCACAAUGGGGGAAACCCUGAUGCAGCAACGCCGCGUGAGUGAUGACGGCCUUCGGGUUGUAAAGCUCUGUCUUCAGGGACGAUAAUGACGGUACCUGAGGAGGAAGCCACGGCUAACUACGUGCCAGCCGCCGCAGUAAAAC